CCACCCAAAGGUGCCAAUUGCUAAUUUCGCAAUUAAUUUUGAAUUUAAUUCAUAUAUUCGCUCAUUUUCCUUCUCUAGUAACGAUUACGCUGUCCCUCUCUUUCGCACCCACGGCCCCGGGGUAUAUACAAUCGUACAUACCUAUCUAUAUGUAUACAUACAACUAAAUAUGUAUGUCCGUAUUGCAAAUUCACAAAGUUAAGCGGAAAUUACUGUGGCAGUUGGAGUCUUAAUAUCUUAGAAGUUAAGGCAAUUAGAUCGAAAGUAAAGAUACAAGAUACUAAUUUAAGAGAUUGAUCGCAGUCCCCAAACGUAUUUAAAAGGACUACACUACUUUUCUUCUAAUCAGAUGAUUAAAUUAUAAGAAAUCAGUUUAGAUAAUCCUGUUGUCCAUGGACUUUCUUUAGCAAAUUUCGGACUUCGAUCAACAUUUAAGAUCAAUCUGUAUUGGGAUUGAAUAUCAAUUGAAAUGAAAAAAUGCAACAUUUGCUAAAUAAAAUUAAAGAAAAUAAUUAUGUUGUUUUCACCACAAAUAUUAGGAUCUGAGUCACAAAUACUUUUCCAAGUUGUAUGAUUCACGUAAAGUACAUUACGUGUUAAA